rnacentral:lncRNA from 1 species
CAAUUGAUUAUUCAGUCUGUGGCCUUCUACUGAAGGAGCAUACAGAAUCUCACCUCCAGGAGCAUGGAGCUCUCUUGGAUAGGAUCCUGCUUUCUGAGGCCAGAGCUUACUCUCCUAUGUGAUCAGAGGCUUUCACAGCAUCCGCAGUGGUCUCCAGAUCAGCCCUAUCAUGGAGGCUUGGUCCAGAGAUCUUCAUAUGAAAAGGGAAAUAAUAAGUGUCUGGGAGACACUUCUGCAGGGAUCCUGCCCUGUCUCAAUAAUCUCCCCCAUGGCCACAGAAAUACCCUGGGAUUUUCCCAGGAGCUAGCCGACACACACAGAUAGAUUAUGAACUUCAGAUAGAAGCCCCAGCCUAGCCCUCACUCUGAUACCUGUCAUCCCCAAACUGCUCUGAAGUGCUUAUGUGCUGGUAUCUCCCAAGAGUCUGCAUGUCAGUGUGUCUGUGCUAGUGUAAUUUAUUUAGAAAAGUGCAAAGGCAAAGGGCAGGAUCAACAGGCAAAGGGCAGGAUCCUGGAGGCUGGAUCUAGGGUCCUCUUACCUGAUUUAUGUCACUGAUUUUCCCAAAUAUUGAUAAAAAUGAAUUGAUCUCUAGGUGGCAGAGAAACAGGAGGAACCCUAGACUACAUAGUAAGUAGAAAAUAAUGCUGCAUGUCAUUUAGAUUGAGCUCAGCCCUGAGUCAUGAAGUCUUCAGAACAAAGGAAUAGUUCUCCCUUAUCUGAUGCUCACUGUGGCCUUGGGCAGCCUGGCAUCGAGAAUUCUCAGCAUGUUCACUCUUGAGUUCUGUGCCUGCAUCACACAGCAAUGGAACAGUCCCAAAAGAUUCUUAAGGGUGGGGAAAGGCACUAAGAAAAGAUGAACCUGCAGUCCCUGUUAUACCAUCUGGUCUAAUUGAUACUACUGUUGUCAAGCAAAAGGAGCUCUCUCCCUGAGGCACUGGAAGCCAAUAUUUUGACACCAGGUUUUUGAGAAAGAAAAGUUUUUUAUUAUUCUGCCUGCCAGACUGAAACACAAAAAUACUCACCUGAUUCCUUCCCACUGCCAGGACAGCCCAGUUUGUGUGACGGUCAUAACAGCACUGUGUGGGAAGGAGGCAGCCAGACCCUGAGAUAAAGGCAGCACCAUCUUACAUUUCCAGCCACAGUAUCCAAGGGUUCCAAUUUCUCUGCAUCUUUGCCAUACCGGCUGUUUUUGCUAAUAGUGAUUGUAACAGGUGGGAAGUCAUACCUCAUUGUGGUUUUUACUUGUGUUUUCUACAUAAUCAGUGACAUUGAGCAUGUUUUUAUAUAACUGUUGGGCAUUUGAAUGUCUCCUUUAUAAUAAUGUCUAUUCAGAUCUUUAGCCCAUUUUUAAAUUAGGUCUAUUUUUGUUUUGUUUUGUUUUAGGAGUUAUUUUUUGCUAUUGAGUUGUAGAAGUUCAUUUCCCUAUGAUUUCAACAUCAAUAAUGCUCAAGAUUUUAUGGUCUCUGGAUUCCGUUUUUACAUAUUUCUUCUAUUUUAUUGUAUUUUACAAAUUAUAUUUCCCUGCUAAUAGCUUCGCAUGACUUGUACAUUAAUAUAUUGAUGAGUAAAUGAUCAAAAAUUAGUAAUAAUUGAGUUUCUAUACCGUUUUAAUACAUGUUAGUAUUUCAUGUAUAAAAGUUUAGAAACAGAGUAAUAUUGUUCAAUGAUUCAUUUGAUAGAUACCAUUGUACGUUUUCUCCUGUUGGGUGAGUAAAUGAGUCUUUCUGCUACCAAACUAAUAUUGAGCCAUUCUUGCAUUCAGUAAAUCCAACUUGCAUGUGAGGAAGUUUCCUUUAGGAUUUUAAUCAGUGCACCGACAGUUCAUUAGUAUAUCAAAAGUUAUUGACAUUGGAUAUUGACCUAUACAGUAAAUCUUUACACAGAAACAAAAACUUGCUUUGAUCAAAAUUAUAAAAGAAAAUACCAGUGAUGAGAAAUCAGUGGCAUGGUAAACAGACAAAACUAACUAGGCCUAGAUUUUUUAAAAACACAGCUGCCUGAUUUGUUAGCGUAGCAAGUCCUUAGGUUGUUGUCUUUGCAACCACCCUAGUCAAAUUCGAGUCUCUUUUCAACCCUGAAGAUGCCUGUGAAUUUUGACAAAUCAUUGAACCUCUCUGUAUCUAAGUUCUUCUUGUCUCUACAAGGAAAAUUAUGCCAGUGAAUCCAUCAUACAGUUACAAAAAUCAAAGAAGGUACCAUACAUACCACAUGAUAGGCACGAUUCCUAUAUUGUAAGUGCUAUUUAAAUGUUAUACAUUCAACCCUAGAAAGUCUCUCAGCAAAACAAAACUUUCAACAUUUUUCGGUAGAAUACUGUUUUUCAGUUAUGUCAUUAAUGCAAUCUACACCUCGUGUUUUCUGCAGGAUCUUCUGGCUCUCAAGACGAAUGUCAAUCACUAGGAACUGGCAGAGUGGCCUCCAGGGAUAGGAGGAAUGGUCUAUUUAUCACAGAAUAUUGUUGGAAUCCUGAAAAAUUUCUGUCUUCCUUACCAUUGUGCCUUCUUUUAUUUAGCAGGGUGCAGAUUGAGGUCCACAGAUUUGAAUCAGAAACACCUGAUUAUAGCCACUUCUUGCUCAUUCUGUUUAAAGGUGUCCCCAAGACACACCUCUGUAUGCAGCACCAAGUCAAUGGCAGAUUUUAGGUGAUAUAACUUCCUAAAUGAUUUCAGAUUCCAAUUUGUUUCUGUCCUCACAGAGUUGGUAGGGUAUGACCGUUGGCACCACCUGUGUCUGCAGUGUUUCAAGCCAUCAUGAUAAGCCCCAGGAACUACAGGUGUGUAGAAUUUAAAAUGAAUUAUCCAAUGUAUAUUGGGCUUUCCAUUUUUCUCUGCUGGACCCUGAUACAUUGAUAAAUACGAUUUUUUCCAGCCGGGUGCAGUGUCUCACACCUGUAACCCCAGCACUUUGGGAGGCCGAGGUAG